rnacentral:misc_RNA from 1 species
GAUGAAGAACGCAGCGAAAUGCGAUAAGUAAUGCGAAUUGCAGAAUCCGUGAGUCAUCGAAUCUUUGAACGCACAUUGCGCCCUCUGGUAUUCCGGGGGGCAUGCCUGUCCGAGCGUCAUUAUAACCCCUCAAGCUCAGCUUGGUGUUGGGGCCUGCUGCACUGGCAGCCCUUAAAAUCAGUGGCGGCGCCAUCUGGCUCUAAGCGUAGUAAUUCUUCUCGCUAUGGAGUCCUGGUGGAUGCUUGCCAUCAACCCCCAAUUUUUCUAUGGUUGACCUCGGAUCAGGUAGGGAUACCCGCUGAACUUAAGCAUAUCAAUAAGCGGAGGA